GACGAACGCUGGCGGCGUGCUUAACACAUGCAAGUCGAACGAAAAGAGGGAAAGAGCUUGCUCUUUCCGGAAUUGAGUGGCAAACGGGUGAGUAACACGUAAACAACCUGCCUUCAGGAUGGGGACAACAGACGGAAACGACUGCUAAUACCGAAUAAGUUCCAAGGGCCGCAUGGCCCAUGGAAGAAAAGGUGGCCUCUACCUGUAAGCUAUCGCCUGAAGAGGGGUUUGCGUCUGAUUAGCUGGUUGGAGGGGUAACGGCCCACCAAGGCGACGAUCAGUAGCCGGUCUGAGAGGAUGAACGGCCACACUGGAAUUGAGACACGGUCCAGACUCCUACGGGAGGCAGCAGUGGGGAAUCUUCCGCAAUGGGCGAAAGCCUGACGGAGCAACGCCGCGUGAGUGAGGACGGCCUUCGGGUUGUAAAACUCUGUGAUCCGGGACGAAAAGGCAGAGUGCGAAGAACAAACUGCAUUGACGGUACCGGAAAAGCAAGCCACGGCUAACUACGUG
rnacentral:rRNA from 1 species